GACGAACCGAGCGAACGUUGUUCGGAAUCACUGGGCUUAAAGGGCGCGUAGGCGGGUGCUCAAGUCUGUGGUGAAAUCCUCCGGCUCAACCGGAGAACUGCCAUGGAUACUGGGUGCCUCGAGGGUGAUAGGGGUAUGCGGAACUAUCGGUGGAGCGGUGAAAUGCGUUGAUAUCGAUAGGAACUCCGGUGGCGAAGGCGGCAUACUGGACCACAUCUGACGCUGAGGCGCGAAAGCCAGGGGAGCAAACGGG
rnacentral:rRNA from 1 species